CCACCUUUGACAUGUACGGAAUUCGCCAGAGAUGGCUUAGUGCUCGAAAGAGAACCGUAACACAGGUGCUGCAUGGCUGUCGUCAGCUCGUGUCGUGAGAUGUUGGGUUAAGUCCCGCAACGAGCGCAACCCUUGUCAUUAGUUGCUACAUUCAGUUGGGCACUCUAAUGAGACUGCCGGUGACAAACCGGAGGAAGGUGGGGAUGACGUCAAGUCCUCAUGGCCCUUAUAGGUGGGGCUACACACGUCAUACAAUGGCUGGUACAAAGGGUUGCCAACCCGCGAGGGGGAGCUAAUCCCGUAAAACCAGUCGUAGUCCGGAUCGCAGUCUGCAACUCGACUGCGUGAAGUCGGAAUCGCUAGUAAUCGUGGAUCAGAAUGUCACGGUGAAUA
rnacentral:rRNA from 1 species